AUGGAGUUGGGGUUGCACUGGGUUUUCUUUGUUGCUCUUUUAAAAGGUGUCCACUGUGAGGUGCAGCUGGUUGAGUCCGGUGGAGGAUUAGUGAAGCCUGAGGGGUCAUUGAAACUCUCCUGUGCAGCCUCUGGAUUCACUUUCAUGGACUAUGCCAUGUACUGGGUCCGCCAGGCUCCAGGGAAGGGACUGGAGUGGGUUGCUCGCAUAAGAACUAAACCCAAUAAUUACGCAGCCUAUUAUGCAGAUUCGGUGAAAGGCAGAUUCACCAUCUCCAGAGAUGAUUCCCAAAGCAUGGUCUACCUGCAAAUGAACUACCUGAGAACUGAGGAUACGGCCACAUAUUACUGUGCAAGAGACACAUUGAGGAGUUUCCAGUGUGAGCCCAGACAUAAACCUCCUUUCCGGUACCAAAGUCAGCAGGGGGAGCACAGUGUCCAUAAAGCCCAAGUUAAGACAUAACAGGGCCUUCCCCUCACACUUGGUCUUGCUUGGCCCGAUGUUCCGGGUGAGCAGUAGGCCAGAGUGCUGGUUCAACAUCCCCUCCAGCUCUGUGGAACUUCCUGGGUCUGCCUGA